rnacentral:lncRNA from 1 species
UGACCUUGAUUUGGUAUUCUGUAAACAUCACUAGCUCACUUGCGAAGUGAAGUGAGCUUCGAUAUAUCUUUCGAGUUACUAGUGAUUGGCGCUUAAUGAGAAGAUACCAAUCGUGGUUUGGUGCAUAGAUUGUGGUGUUUUGGCUGCGUGUGGACAUAUUUUGAAACGGGAUAAUGAAUGUAAGCGAGCGCUCAUCCCAUCUGUCCUUUGCCCCAAUAGAAGCAAUGAUUGACUUCCUGGAGAGAAACCCAGAUUUGGCAAAGGGUUUUUCAAAAACUCAAUAUGCCAGAGAGUGGAGCACUAGGAAGUUUUGUCAUAGCGGCUCAAUAAUAUGGGUGGGACGAUUAAAACAUACAAGCAGUGGACCAAACAAUCAGACCCAAUACAAUUGGUUCUCCCUCUUUAAUACAAAGCAGUGGACAUUCAGAAAUUUCAGUGAGUUGAAGAGCAGCAGUUAGAAAUUCAGCGGCCCAAUGCACCGGUCAAAGCGACCAUGAUGAAGCGCAGCAUUGAGAGAGACGGAAUUGCCGCUAACGCUGUGGCGGCAGUGGAGGAAGGAUUAAAUGCGCUCUGCCGUGUCACGCACAAGUCUGCUAUCUUAAAAUAGUCGAGUUAUGAAUAACCAGUGCAAAAGGGGUUUAUAUCCUAUGCUUUACAUAGUUCAGUAAAAACAUUUUAAAAUUUAUUGAUACUUUUUGAGAUACAGAGGUUGACAAAGUCUGCUAACUUGAUUUUUUUGCAUGUGGGUCACACCUAACUCAUCUAACUAAAAGUUACAAUAGAUAGGCGUGACUACGACGAAGGCAAUCCUAGCGAUUCGCGACAUUAUUUGUACUUGCAAACCCGGCGCCCAGGGAGGAAACACUUCCUGAAUCUGAGAGAGAAGUCGAGGACCCAAAAUGCUUUAAACUAGGCAUAAAGGGGAAAUAUUUUUUGGUUUGAAUAAGAAUGGGAAACUUCUUUAGAACAGUGAUACUACCUGGAACCGUUGGUCAAAGGAUCGAGUCUUGCAAGAACUAUAAAUGGGAGGAUACAAUACCAGGUUGGAAAACUGUUUGUUGUGAGAAAGCAUACUCAAAUGUGAUGAGGAUGAUAAGGUCUUGUGACUUUUCUUGUUGAAUAAAGAAUUGCAAUAGAUGUAACCCUGGGCUUUCAGAACUGAGCAAGCGAUAACAUCAUCGCUAUUAAUAUUAUUUUUAGUUUUGAUCAUCAAUUGCAGCAUCAAAAUCGUAAAUAGUUCAUGAGCGCAUGGUUAUUUUGUUUAUUGCUUUUGUUUCUAGAUGAUUCUCGUUCGCCGAAUGCGAUUUUUUGUAAAACAUUUGUUGAACCUUUGCUGGGUUCGGCUUCUUCAAGGGUUCUAUGUAUAUUAUACCCCCUUGGAAGCGGUUUUUGUGGUUUGUCGCGAAACGGAUUCAGGUCUUGCGGAGUGAUGGUCUGUGUUGUCGAUUUUUGUGAUAAUCUGUCAGAUCGUCAAUCUCUUUUACUCUCGAGAAUUCAAGAGUUCACUGUGCAACCUCGAACUGUAUCAGUUCCCAUGAGGUACCCUGGUUCCAGAGUUUGUGUAUUCUGCAGUCACAAGUGAGGACGAGUUGAUUGAUCUCAUCAUAGCCAAGAAGAGAUUUCUAUUUUU